rnacentral:rRNA from 1 species
UACGGGGGGAGCAAGCGUUGUUCGGAUUUACUGGGCGUAAAGGGCGCGUCGGCGGCCACCGCAAGUCGACUGUGAAAUCUCUGGGCUUAACCCAGAAAGGUCAGCCGAUACUGCGGGGCUAGAGUGCAGAAGGGGCAACUGGAAUUCUCGGUGUAGCGGUGAAAUGCGUAGAUAUCGAGAGGAACACCUGCGGCGAAGGCGGGUUGCUGGGCUGACACUGACGCUGAAGCGCGAAAGCUAGGGGAGCGAACGGG